CGGGUGAGUAACACGUGAGUAACCUGCCCCAGGCUUUGGGAUAACCCCGGGAAACCGGGGCUAAUACCGGAUAUGACCAUCUGUCGCAUGGUGGGUGGUGGAAAGAUUUUUUGGCUUGGGAUGGGCUCGCGGCCUAUCAGCUUGUUGGUGGGGUGAUGGCCUACCAAGGCGGCGACGGGUAGCCGGCCUGAGAGGGCGACCGGCCACACUGGGACUGAGACACGGACCAGACUCCUACGGGAGGCAGCAGUGGGGAAUCUUGCACAAUGGGCGGAAGCCUGAUGCAGCGACGCCGCGUGAGGGAUGACGGCCUUCGGGUUGUAAACCUCUUUCAGCAGGGACGAAGCGUUUGUGACGGUACCUGCAGAAGAAGCGCCGGCCAACUACGUGCCAGCAGCCGCGGUAAGACGUAGGGCGCAAGCGUUGUCCGGAUUUAUUGGGCGUAAAGAGCUCGUAGGCGGCUUGUCGCGUCGACUGUGAAAACCCGUGGCUCAACUGCGGGCUUGCAGUCGAUACGGGCAGGCUAGAGUUCGGUAGGGGAGACUGGAAUUCCUGGUGUAGCGGUGAAAUGCGCAGAUAUCAGGAGGAACACCGGUGGCGAAGGCGGGUCUCUGGGCCGAUACUGACGCUGAGGAGCGAAAGCGUGGGGAGCGAACAGGAUUAGAUACCCUGGUAGUCCACGCUGUAAACGUUGGGCGCUAGGUGUGGGGGGCCUCUCCGGGUUCUCUGUGCCGCAGCUAACGCAUUAAGCGCCCGCUGGGAGUACGGCCGCAAGCUAAAACUCAAGGGAUUGACGGGGGCCCGCA
rnacentral:rRNA from 1 species